GGUGCUAGUGUGUUGGUUUGAAGGGCUGUUCGGGGGGUGUAGUUUGUGGUUGAAGGGCUGUACGUGGGUGCUAGUGUGUUGGUUUGAAGGGCUGUACGGGGUGCUAGUGUGUUGGUUUGAAGGGCUGUACGGGGUGCUAGUGUGUUGGUUUGAAGGGCUGUACGGGGUGCUAGUGUGUUGGUUUGAGGCUGUACGGGGUGCUAGUGUGUUGGUUUGAAGGGCUGUACGGGGUGCUAGUGUGUUGGUUUGAAGGGCUGUACAGGGUGCUAGUUGGUUGGUUUGAAGGGCUGUACGGGUGUAGUGUGUUGGUUUGAAGGGCUGUACAGGGUGCUCAGUGUGU
rnacentral:lncRNA from 1 species